GAACGUUCUGGGGGAGGGAUUUUUGAGAGUCAGCUUGCAGACGCUCUUAAGUCGCCUAAAAGCGCAAGCUAAACAUGUAGCGCCCUGAAGUGGAUCACUUGCGGACGGGGGUUCAAUUCCCCCCGCCUCCACCA
rnacentral:tmRNA from 1 species